rnacentral:rRNA from 1 species
UAGUCCACGCCGUAAACGAUGUCUACUAGCCGUUGGAACCCUUGAGGUUUUAGUGGCGCAGCUAACGCAUUAAGUAGACCGCCUGGGGAGUACGGUCGCAAGAUUAAAACUCAAAUGAAUUGACGGGGGCCCGCACAAGCGGUGGAGCAUGUGGUUUAAUUCGAAGCAACGCGAGGAACCUUACCUGGGCUCGAACACUAUUGGACAGCGCGCUGAAAGGCGGUUUCCCUUCGGGGCUGAUAGUGAGGUGCUGCAUGGUUGUCGUCAGCUCGUGCCGUGAGGUGUUGGCUUAAGUGCCGCAACGAGCGCAACCCCUAUUGUUAGUUGCCAUCAUUAAGUUGGGGACUCUAACAAGACUGCCAGUGUAAGCAGUGAGGAAGGUGGGGACGACGUCAAAUCAUCAUGGGCCUUUAUGCCCAGGGGCUACACACGUGCUACAAUGGCGUACACAGAGGGCUGCAAUACCGCGAGGGUGGGAGCUAAUCCCAGAAAGUGCGUCUCA